GCCCUGGCCGAAAACCUGCUCCGCCACGUGCUGACGGUGGUGCGCUCGGUUCCGCAGAUUGCCGGGACACUGGUGAUCAGCCGGGAUACCAAGGUGCUGGCAAUUGCCCGAGACUUUCACGCCAACACCGUCCUCGAAAGCGGGCAGCCGGAGCUCAAUCACGCCCUGGCGCGCGCGACGCAGGUGGUCGCGAGCUGGAAGGGGAGCGCUGUCCUGAUUCUGCCGGCCGACCUGCC
rnacentral:misc_RNA from 1 species